UACGAAGGGGGCUAGCGUUGCUCGGAAUCACUGGGCGUAAAGCGCACGUAGGCGGAUUGUUAAGUCAGGGGUGAAAUCCUGGAGCUCAACUCCAGAACUGCCUUUGAUACUGACGAUCUCGAGUCCGGGAGAGGUGAGUGGAACUGCGAGUGUAGAGGUGAAAUUCGUAGAUAUUCGCAAGAACACCAGUGGCGAAGGCGGCUCACUGGCCCGGUACUGACGCUGAGGCGCGAAAGCCAGGGGAGCAAACGGG
rnacentral:rRNA from 1 species